UACGUAGGUCCCGAGCGUUGUCCGGAUUGAUUGGGCGUAAAGCGAGCGCAGGCGGGUUAGAUAAGUCUGAAGUUAAAGGCUGUGGCUUAACCAUAGUACGCUUUGGAAACUGUUUAACUUGAGUGCAGAAGGGGAGAGUGGAAUUCCAUGUGUAGCGGUGAAAUGCGUAGAUAUAUGGAGGAACACCGGUGGCGAAAGCGGCUCUCUGGUCUGUAACUGACGCUGAGGCUCGAAAGCGUGGGGAGCGAACAGGAUUAGAUACCCUGGUAGUCCACGCCGUAAACGAUGAGUGCUAGGUGUUAGGCCUUUCCGGGGCUUAGUGCCGCAGCUAACGCAUUAAGCACUCCGCCUGGGGAGUACGACCGCAAGGUUGAAACUCAAAGGAAUUGACGGGGGCCCGCACAAGCGGUGGAGCAUGUGGUUUAAUUCGAAGCAACGCGAAGAACCUUGCCAGGUCUUGACAUCCCGAUGCCCGCUCUAGAGAUAGAGUCUUACUUCGGUACAUCGGUGACAGGUGGUGCAUGGUUGUCGUCAGCUCGUGUCGUGAGAUGUUGGGUUAAGUCCCGCAACGAGCGCAACCCUUAUUGUUAGUUGCCAUCAUUCAGUUGGGCACUCUAGCGAGACUGCCGGUAAUAAACCGGAGGAAGGUGGGGAUGACGUCAAAUCAUCAUGCCCCUUAUGACCUGGGCUACACACGUGCUACAAUGGCUGGUACAACGAGUCGCAAGUCGGUGACGGCAAGCUAAUCUCUUAAAGCCAGUCUCAGUAAGGAUUGUAGGCUGCAACUCG
rnacentral:rRNA from 1 species